AUUGAACGCUGGCGGCAGGCCUAACACAUGCAAGUCGAACGGCAGCACAGAAGAGCUUGCUCUUUGGGUGGCGAGUGGCGGACGGGUGAGUAAUGUCUGGGAAACUGCCCGAUGGAGGGGGAUAACUACUGGAAACGGUAGCUAAUACCGCAUAACGUCGCAAGACCAAAGUGGGGGACCUUCGGGCCUCACACCAUCGGAUGUGCCCAGAUGGGAUUAGCUAGUAGGUGGGGUAAUGGCUCACCUAGGCGACGAUCCCUAGCUGGUCUGAGAGGAGGACCAGCCAAACGGGAACUGAGACACGGUCCAGACUCCUACGGGAGGCAGCAGUGGGGAAUAUUGCACAAUGGGCGCAAGCCUGAUGCAGCCAUGCCGCGUGUAUGAAGAAGGCCUUCGGGUUGUAAAGUACUUUCAGCGGGGAGGAAGGCGGUGAGGUUAAUAACCUCGCCGAUUGACGUUACCCGCAGAAGAAGCACCGGCUAACUCCGUGCCAGCCGCCGCCGCCG
rnacentral:rRNA from 1 species